GUGGGGAAUUUUGGACAAUGGGCGCAAGCCUGAUCCAGCAAUGCCGCGUGCAGGAAGAAGGCCUUCGGGUUGUAAACUGCUUUUGUACGGAACGAAAAGGCUCUGGUUAAUACCUGGGGCUCAUGACGGUACCGUAAGAAUAAGCACCGGCUAACUACGUGCCAGCAGCCGCGGUAAUACGUAGGGUGCAAGCGUGAAUCGGAAUUACUGGGCGUAAAGCGUGCGCAGGCGGUUUUGUAAGACAGACGUGAAAUCCCCGGGCUCAACCUGGGAAUGGCGUUUGUGACUGCAAAGCUGGAGUGCGGCAGAGGGGGAUGGAAUUCCGCGUGUAGCAGUGAAAUGCGUAGAUAUGCGGAGGAACACCGAUGGCGAAGGCAAUCCCCUGGGCCUGCACUGACGCUCAUGCACGAAAGCGUGGGGAGCAAACAGGAUUAGAUACCCCUGUAGUCC
rnacentral:rRNA from 1 species